rnacentral:lncRNA from 1 species
CUGGGGAGGGAGAGAGAUGCACACAUGCAUCCAGCAGGACUCACAGGACCCCCAGCUCAGAUGGGUGCCCCAGGUACCAAGGAAUCCCAUGGACCUUGAGGAUGGGGACCUGGGCACACCCGCCCCCUUGGAGCAGGACACUCACCCCUCGUCCUCAUAGAGCCCACGUUGCCAGUCAACUCCUAAAGGCACUGGAUGUCCUUUCAGUCAUCUCUUCCCUACCACUGUGCACCUUCAAGAGGGCUCGGCAGAAUCCUGGAAUGGAGACAGGAGCCCAGUCCUUGAUGCCAGCUGACCAACUAACUGUCCGCAGUGGCCUACAAUAACAACAGCUACAACAAUACUACUUUCCACUCGGCUGAGACUUGACUUGUGUAGUAGACAGCCUCUAAGAUGGCCCCUAGGGAUCCCCACCUCCUGUGCUCAUACCCUUGGGUAGUUAGUCCACGUUGUAUCAGCAUUGUUUCAUGUGACCCAGGAACCUCUGGCAGAAGUGAUGGCAUGUCACUUCUGAUUGUUAUAAAAGACACUGUGGCUUGUUUUGCAUUCUCUUUCUCUUUCUCUGAUCACUUGCUCUGGGGGAAACCAGUUGCCAUGUGCUGAGAGAACUCAGAAGGCCUAGAUGGAGGUCUCUGCAGCAAGAAAUGGAGGCCUCCAGCCUUUGGCCAGCAACUGCGGCUUCCUGCCAACUGCCUCUUGAAUGAGCUUGGAAGUAGAUUCUCCAUCCCCAGUUAAGCCUUGAGAUGACAGCAACCCUGGUGACAGCUGGCUGCUUCUCUGAGA